UAGGGAAUCUUCGGCAAUGGGGGCAACCCUGACCGAGCAACGCCGCGUGAGUGAAGAAGGUUUUCGGAUCGUAAAGCUCUGUUGUAAGAGAAGAACGUGUGUGAGAGUGGAAAGUUCACACAGUGAUGGUAACUUACCAGAAAGGGACGGCUAACUACGUGCCAGCAGCCGCGGUAAUACGUAGGUCCCGAGCGUUGUCCGGAUUUAUUGGGCGUAAAGAGAGCGCAGGCGGUUUAAUAAGUCUGAAGUUAAAUGCAGUGGCUUAACCAUUGUUCGCUUUGGAAACUGUUAAACUUGAGUGCAGAAGGGGAGAGUGUAAUUCCAUGUGUAGCGGUGAAAUGCGUAGAUAUAUGGAGGAACACCGGUAGCGAAAGCGGCUCUCUGGUCUGUAACUGACGCUGAGGCUCGAAAGCGUGUGGAGCAAACAGG
rnacentral:rRNA from 1 species